rnacentral:lncRNA from 1 species
GAAGGACUCAGACUCCCCUGAGCUGGCAGGCUCUUUGCAUGAUAUUUGCUGUCCUCACCUGGGCACCUUCAUUCUCGAGCUCUUUAUAGGAAGGAGGCCUUGGGCAGAGGUCUUCCUCAGACCUCAGAAUCCAGGAAACCGCCCGAGCCUUCUGUUCAGGGUCUCAUCAACGGUGAGAUGACCGACCCACCUGGCCGAAGGACCCGACCACGCCCUUCCAUGGCGGAAGAUGGAACAGGGAGUUGGUGUUUUCUCCGGUUUUAGCCUCUCACUCACUCCCUCAGGGUAAGUAAAGACUUAACUCUUUUGUUUAUGGCUUGUUCCUUCCGUGGGCCACUCUGACCCCUAACAACUCAGUUUGCUCUCCCAGCUCAGCUGAGCUCUGGACACUUGGAGGGCAUUUCCCCUGCACCACCUGUAAUACUUGGGGAUGUAGCAGAAGUAUUU